AAACUCAAAGGAAUUGACGGGACCCGCACAAGCAGCGGAGCGUGUGGUUUAAUUCGUUGCUACACGAAGAACCUUACCUGGGUUUGACAUAUAGGUUGUAGGGAACUGAAAGGGACCGACCCUUCGGGGAGCCUAUACAGGUGUUGCAUGGCUGUCGUCAGCUCGUGUCGUGAGAUGUUCGGUUAAGUCCGCUAACGAGCGCAACCCUCGUCGUAUGUUAUAUGUGUCAUACGAGACUGCCGGUAAAAAGCCGGAGGAAGGUGAGGAUGAUGUCAAGUCAGCAUGACCUUUAUAUCCAGGGCUACACACACGCUACAAUGGUCUGUACAAUGGGUAGCCAAGCCGCGAGGCGGAGCCAAUCCUGAAAGCAGGCCUCAGUUCAGAUUGCAGUCUGCAACUCGACUGCAUGAAGCCGGAGUUGCUAGUAACCGCAGGUCAGCAAUACUGCGGUGAAUACGUUCCCGGGUCUU
rnacentral:rRNA from 1 species